UACGGGGGGGGCAAGCGUUGUUCGGAAUUACUGGGCGUAAAGGGCCUGUAGGCGGCCAACUAAGUCCGACGUGAAAUCCCCAGGCUUAACUUGGGAACUGCGUCGGAUACUGAUUGGCUUGAAUCCGGGAGAGGGAUGCAGAAUUCCAGGUGUAGCGGUGAAAUGCGUAGAUAUCUGGAGGAAUACCGGUGGCGAAGGCGGCAUCCUGGACCGGCAUUGACGCUGAACGGCGAAAGCUAGGGGAGCAAACGGG
rnacentral:rRNA from 1 species